rnacentral:rRNA from 1 species
GGUAUCGCCGUUAGUCAUGUGCAAAUAUGGAUAGCUGUUUUAGCCGUCUUUAUUGACUGGUUUAUAAGAGUUAUCAGAUAUCACUUUGAUUAAAUUAGAGUGCUUAAAGCAAGUGUGUUACUUGGAUAUAAAUGCAUGGAAUGAUGGAAUAUGUUGUUAUUCUAUUUGUUGGUUUUUGAAUGAUAAAAUGAUUGAAAGGAACUGUUGGGGGCAUUCGUAUUGUUGUGAGAGAGGUGAAAUUCUUAGACCACAGCAAGACGAACUACUGCGAAAGCAUUUGCCAAGAAUGUUUUCAUUGAUCAAGAACGAAAGUUAGAGGUUCGAAGGCGAUCAGAUACCGCCCUAGUUCUAACCAUAAACUAUGCCAACUAGCAAUUUGCUUUGUAUUUUUUAUGACUAAGUGAGAGGCCACGGGAAACCUAAGUAGGAUUAUGGGGGAAGUAUGGUUGCAAAGCUGAAACUUAAAGGAAUUGACGGAAGGGCACCACCAGGAGUGGAGCCUGCGGCUUAAUUUGACUCAACACGGGAAAACUUACCUGGUCCUGACACUAGAAGGAUUGACAGAUUGAUAGCUCUUUCUUGAUUUGGUGGAUGGUGGUGCAUGGCCGUUCUUAGUUGGUGGAGUGAUUUGUCUGGUUAAUUCCGAUAACGAACGAGACUCUAGCCUAUUAAAUAAUACACGGAAUUUUAUCUUCCGCGGUAUUUCUUAGUGGGAUCAAGCG